UAUUGUCAGAUCUCUGUCCUCA
rnacentral:miRNA from 2 species